AAUAUUAGCUGAAGUUUAUAUAGCCCCUUGUGGUCUACAAAAUGCCCUAAGUAUAUUACCUAUGCACCUUACCACAAUUAUGCAAGAGAGCUACCAUGGGUAUUAUUAUGCCCAUUUUGUAGAUGAGAAAACCAAACUCAGAGUAAUUUAGUCACUUGCCCAUGGACACUUAUCAAGUGUCAGACUCAGGAUGUUAACCUAGGUCUCUCCUGAUCCCUAAGUAUAGCACUCUUACCACUAUGCAGCAUUUUCUCCAAGGUACUCUUUAAAUUUUUAUAUAACAAUGUAUUUUUAAAAAUUAAAGUAAAUCAACAUUUUUGAAGAAAUUUUGUGACAUUUCCUUUAAAUGGUAAAAUAUUCGAGGGCAUGAUAAGACCAGGGUUCAGAUUUACAGGAGUGGUUGAGAGUCACACUGGAUAAACAGGCAAGGAUGGUUUCUGAACAUCACUGGGGCCAGUAUUCACUUCAAAAAGAUCACAGACAUCACCUGAGUUAACAUAUGUACAAUGCUUAGCAAACUGCAAAGUGCUAUGUAAGUAUCAUCUAUCUAAAAUGGUAUCAUCUAUUAUCUUUUCUGUUCUUUCAGAAUUAUCUUCACGUGGGGGUAUCUUACAAAUGAAUCUUGGAGUAUCAUUUCCAGCAUGGAAUUUUGCUGCAAAUUUUUAUCAUAACAAAGGGGUCAGAAGAUCUCUUUCCUUCUUACAUGAAGCUGAGAAGGAAGCAGGAUCCAGGAGAAAGAGGGCUGGAUUAGAAUCGGAAGGCCUAGACUGAAAUCUUGGAUUCUUGCUGCUUACUACCUGUGUGGUCUUGAGUAAGAGACUGUACCUUGAUGAGUUCCAGCUCCUCAUCUCUAAAAUGAAGGGAUUGGACUCUUCCUGUGACUCUUCCAAUUCUAAGUCUACGAUCCUAUGGUCCUACUCAGUGGUAGCCAUUUAGCCAUUGGUACUGCAUGAAGUUCACCCACUGUGUGUGGAGUACUAAAAAAAGGAAAGAACUAGGAGGCACACAGAUCCCAGCCAGCUUUCUUUGGACAAUGUCUUGUACUCCAAACAAAAUUAUCCCCCCCUCCUAUUCCAUGCUCCUUUUUUUUUAAUCCUCUCAUAUCCUCAAUGUCCCACCAACUGGCCAAGAGAAAACUUAUCUACACUAAGAUAUUGAUGUCUAAUAGUAGCUAAUGUGUUAUUUGAAUUUCUAAAGAGGAUGCUUCUUUUCUAACCAUAGGCCAAAGGAUGGGUAUCUAAGAGGAAAUUUGUAGGUGCUUUUAACAGGUGAGUAGAAGAAAUGUUUGGGAGCUGGGGGCUCUCCCUAACUAUAUAUAUUUGAAAAGGCUA
rnacentral:lncRNA from 1 species